CUUCUUCAACUUGAACCCCACCAUCGCCUCUUUCUCUUUCAAAGACAUUCACCAUAUCCGCUUUGACGAUCCACCUUUCCGCACUUCCCUCGAGAGCUCAGAUCUCCGAUCUAGAGCAUUUCACUUCUUCUCCGCUCAAAAUCUGGAUAUUUUCGGCGAUAGGCAAUCCGGCCAAGUUGUUCGUUCUUAGAACGAUACUCAAAAAAUGAGUAAGCAAUCGAUCCAUUUGUUGACCUAGAAAAUUUCGGAUCUAUAAGUUGAAGUCUAUUUUUCCGCCGAGCAGCUGCGCUUUCGGCUGAGAAGGUAAAAGGAGAGACGCCAUGGAAAGAAGACCUGCGAGGUGUUACCGUCAUAUCACAAGGGUAAGCAAUACCCAAAAUUCAACAUGGAUACUAGCAUAAGCCAGCUGUGGCCGUGUUAGCUUGUGUAGGAGACCAUCUCAUUGGAGCCUAAAUAUGACAAACGCCGUCUAUUGAGUGAUCUCCAGGAGCAAAGUAUAGAAACUAACAAAGUUCAAGAUUUACAUCUUACAUAUUCAUUGAUUAUUCUAAAGGAGGUUUAUGCCAACACAUAAAGAAUGAACCGACAUUUCGGAGUAACCUAAACACUUGUACACAAGAUAUAAAGUAGAGUCCAAAUGAAUAUUAUUUGAAGAAUAAAUAAAGUUUGUGUAAUGAACA